GAGUUUGAUCGUGGCUCAGGAUGGACGCUGGCGGCGUGCCUAAUACAUGCAAGUCGAGCGAACGGACGAGAAGCUUGCUUCUCUGAUGUUAGCGGCGGACGGGUGAGUAACACGUGGAUAACCUACCUAUAAGACUGGGAUAACUUCGGGAAACCGGAGCUAAUACCGGAUGAUAUUUUGAACCGCAUGGUUCAAAAAGUGAAAGACGGUCUUGCUGUCACUUAUAGAUGGAUCCGCGCUGCAUUAGCUAGUUGGUAAGGUAACGGCUUACCAAGGCAACGAUGCAUAGCCGACCUGAGAGGGUGAUCGGCCACACUGGAACUGAGACACGGUCCAGACUCCUACGGGAGGCAGCAGUAGGGAAUCUUCCGCAAUGGGCGAAAGCCUGACGGAGCAACGCCGCGUGAGUGAUGAAGGUCUUCGGAUCGUAAAACUCUGUUAUUAGGGAAGAACAUAUGUGUAAGUAACUGUGCACAUCUUGACGGUACCUAAUCAGAAAGCCACGGCUAACUA
rnacentral:rRNA from 1 species